rnacentral:tRNA from 1 species
AAACCCAUCCGGGGGGCUUAAGGGGUGUUGGGCCUGCCAUUUCGUGGGCCGGUAGCUCAGCCUGGGAGAGCGCCGGCUUUGCAAGCCGGAGGCCCCGGGUUCAAAUCCCGGCCGGUCCACCACGAACAGGUGCACAUCCCGAGCAACGCUCGGGGUGGAAGGGUCCUAGGCCCCGAACAGGGG